rnacentral:rRNA from 2 species
GAAUGCUGACAUAAGUAACGAUAAAGCGGGUGAAAAGCCCGCUCGCCGGAAGACCAAGGGUUCCUGUCCAACGUUAAUCGGGGCAGGGUGAGUCGACCCCUAAGGCGAGGCCGAAAGGCGUAGUCGAUGGGAAACGGGUUAAUAUUCCCGUACUUGGUGUUACUGCGAAGGGGGGACGGAGAAGGCUAUGUUGGCCGGGCGACGGUUGUCCCGGUUUAAGCGUGUAGGUGUGUGUUCCAGGUAAAUCCGGUUCACUUUAACACUGAGGCGUGACGACGAGGCACUACGGUGCUGAAGCAACAAAUGCCCUGCUUCCAGGAAAAGCCUCUAAGCAUCAGGUAACAUCAAAUCGUACCCCAAACCGACACAGGUGGUCAGGUAGAGAAUACCAAGGCGCUUGAGAGAACUCGGGUGAAGGAACUAGGCAAAAUGGUGCCGUAACUUCGGGAGAAGGCACGCUGACACGUAGGUGAAGUGAUUUACUCAUGGAGCUGAAGUCAGUCGAAGAUACCAGCUGGCUGCAACUGUUUAUUAAAAACACAGCACUGUGCAAACACGAAAGUGGACGUAUACGGUGUGACGCCUGCCCGGUGCCGGAAGGUUAAUUGAUGGGGUCAGCGCAAGCGAAGCUCCUGAUCGAAGCCCCGGUAAACGGCGGCCGUAACUAUAACGGUCCUAAGGUAGCGAAAUUCCUUGUCGGGUAAGUUCCGACCUGCACGAAUGGCGUAAUGAUGGCCAGGCUGUCUCCACCCGAGACUCAGUGAAAUUGAACUCGCUGUGAAGAUGCAGUGUACCCGCGGCAAGACGGAAAGACCCCGUGAACCUUUACUAUAGCUUGACACUGAACAUUGAGCCUUGAUGUGUAGGAUAGGUGGGAGGCUUUGAAGUGUGGACGCCAGUCUGCAUGGAGCCGACCUUGAAAUACCACCCUUUAAUGUUUGAUGUUCUAACGUGGACCCGUUACCCGGGUUGCGGACAGUGUCUGGUGGGUAGUUUGACUGGGGCGGUCUCCUCCUAAAGAGUAACGGAGGAGCACGAAGGUUGGCUAAUCCUGGUCGGACAUCAGGAGGUUAGUGCAAUGGCAUAAGCCAGCUUGACUGCGAGCGUGACGGCGCGAGCAGGUGCGAAAGCAGGUCAUAGUGAUCCGGUGGUUCUGAAUGGAAGGGCCAUCGCUCAACGGAUAAAAGGUACUCCGGGGAUAACAGGCUGAUACCGCCCAAGAGUUCAUAUCGACGGCGGUGUUUGGCACCUCGAUGUCGGCUCAUCACAUCCUGGGGCUGAAGUAGGUCCCAAGGGUAUGGCUGUUCGCCAUUUAAAGUGGUACGCGAGCUGGGUUUAGAACGUCGUGAGACAGUUCGGUCCCUAUCUGCCGUGGGCGCUGGAGAACUGAGGGGGGCUGCUCCUAGUACGAGAGGACCGGAGUGGACGCAUCACUGGUGUUCGGGUUGUCAUGCCAAUGGCACUGCCCGGUAGCUAAAUGCGGAAGAGAUAAGUGCUGAAAGCAUCUAAGCACGAAACUUGCCCCGAGAUGAGUUCUCCCUGAGACUUAGAGUCUCCUGAAGGAACGUUGAAGACGACGACGU